rnacentral:rRNA from 1 species
AUUGAACGCUGGCGGCAUGCUUUACACAUGCAAGUCGAACGGUAACAGGCCUUCGGGUGCUGACGAGUGGCGAACGGGUGAGUAAUGCAUCGGAACGUACCCAGAGGUGGGGGAUAACGCAGCGAAAGCUGUGCUAAUACCGCAUGUGAUCUGAGGAUGAAAGCGGGGGACCGAGCAGCAAUGUUUGGCCUCGCGCCUUUGAGAGGGCCGCUUUCGAGUUGGCUGGUGGGGGGGGUAAGGGCAAACCAGGCCAAGGACCCGUAGCUGGCCUGGGGGGAGGACCGGCCACACUGAGCCUGGGCCACGGCCCAGCCUCCUACGGGAGGCAGCGGUGGGGAAUUUUGGCCAAUGGGCGCAAGCCUGAUCCAGCAAGGCCGCGUGCGGGAAGAAGGCCUUCGGGUUGUAAACCGCUUUUGGCAGGAACGAAACGGUGUCCGCUAAUACCGGGCGCUAAUGACGGUACCUGCAGAAUAAGCACCGGCUACCUACGU